GCUGGGCUUGGUGGCACAAGCCUGUAAUCUCAGGGACUUUGGAGGCUGAGGCAGUCAGAUGGCGAGCUCAAGGCCAGCCUCAGCAACUUAGUGAGGCCUUAAGCAACUUAGACCCUGCCUCAA
rnacentral:sRNA from 1 species